GAUGAACGCUGGCGGCGUGCUUAACACAUGCAAGUCAAGGGGGCCCAGCAAUGGGCAACCGGCGAACGGGUGCGUAACACGUGAGCAACCUACCGAAUUGUGGGGAUAGCCGGCCCAACGGCCGGGUAAUACCGCAUACGAUCGAGACCAGGCAUUUGGACUCGAUGAAAUCUACGGAGCAAUUCGAGGGGCUCGCGGCCUAUCAGCUAGUUGGUGAGGUAACGGCUCACCAAGGCGAUGACGGUAGCUGGUCUGAGAGGAUGGCCAGCCACAUUGGGACUGAGAUACGGCCCAGACUCCUACGGGAGGCAGCAGUGGGAAUCUUGCGCAAUGGCCUAACGGCUGACGCAGCGACGCCGCGUGAGGGAUGACGCUCUUCGGAGUGUAAACCUCUUUUGCCCGGGGACGAACUGCCCAGUUUUUUGACGGCUUGACGGGUACCGGGUUGAAUAAGCACCGCUAACUCCGUGCCAGCAGCGCGGUAAUACGGGGGUGCGAGCGUUGUCCGGAAUCACUGGGCGUAAAGGGCGCGUAGGUGGUCUGAUAAGGGUGUUGUGAAAGCCCGGGGCUCAACCCCGGGUCGGCCGUGCCGACUGUUGGACUAGAGUGCUGUAGGGGCAGGCGGAAUUCCCGGGUGUAGCGGUGGAAUGCGUAGAGAUCCGGAGGAAGACCGGUGGCGAAGGCGGCCUGCUGGGCAGAUACUGACACUGAGGCGCGACAGCGUGGGGGAGCAAACAGGAUUAGAUA
rnacentral:rRNA from 1 species